rnacentral:rRNA from 1 species
UACCGCAUAAGACCACGCCCUCUAAAGAGGAUGCGGUCAAAGCUGGCCUCUACACGUAAGCUAGCACUUGAGAAUGAGCCCGCGGCCCAUCAGGUAGUUGGUAGGGUAAUGGCCUACCAAGCCUAAGACGGGUAGCUGGUCUGAGAGGAUGAUCAGCCACACUGGAACUGAGACACGGUCCAGACUCCUACGGGAGGCAGCAGUGGGGAAUCUUGCGCAAUGGGCGAAAGCCUGACGCAGCGACGCCGCGUGAGUGAUGAAGGCCUUCGGGUUGUAAAGCUCUGUGGGGAGAGAAGAAUAAGUGCAGCCUAAUAUGCUGCAUGAUGACGGUAUCUCCUUAGCAAGCACCGGCUAACUCUGUGCCAGCAGCCGCGGUAAGACAGAGGGUGCAAACGUUGUUCGGAAUUACUGGGCGUAAAGCGUGUGUAGGCGGCCACAUAAGUCGGAUGUGAAAGCCCCGGGCUCAACCCGGGAAGUGCACUCGAUACUGUGUGGCUUGAGUACUGGAGAGGUUGGUGGAAUUCUCGGUGUAGAGGUGAAAUUCGUAGAUAUCGAGAGGAACACCGGUGGCGAAGGCGGCCAACUGGACAGAUACUGACGCUGAGACACGAAAGCGUGGGUAGCAAACAGGAUUAGAUACCCUGGUAGUCCACGCCGUAAGCGAUGGGUGCUAGGUGUCACUGGCAUUGACUCCGGUGGUGCCGUAGCUAACGCAUUAAGCACCCCGCCUGGGAAGUACGGCCGCAAGGCUAAAACUCAANGGAAUUGACGGGGGCCC